GAUGAACGCUGGCGGCGUGCCUAAUACAUGCAAGUCGAGCGAACGGACGAGAAGCUUGCUUCUCUGAUGUUAGCGGCGGACGGGUGAGUAACACGUGGAUAACCUACCUAUAAGACUGGGAUAACUUCGGGAAACCGGAGCUAAUACCGGAUAAUAUUUUGAACCGCAUGGUUCAAAAGUGAAAGACGGUCUUGCUGUCACUUAUAGAUGGAUCCGCGCUGCAUUAGCUAGUUGGUAAGGUAACGGCUUACCAAGGCAACGAUGCAUAGCCGACCUGAGAGGGUGAUCGGCCACACUGGAACUGAGACACGGUCCAGACUCCUACGGGAGGCAGCAGUAGGGAAUCUUCCGCAAUGGGCGAAAGCCUGACGGAGCAACGCCGCGUGAGUGAUGAAGGUCUUCGGAUCGUAAAACUCUGUUAUUAGGGAAGAACAUAUGUGUAAGUAACUGUGCACAUCUUGACGGUACCUAAUCAGAAAGCCACGGCUAACUACGUGCCAGCAGCCGCGGUAAUACGUAGGUGGCAAGCGUUAUCCGGAAUUAUUGGGCGUAAAGCGCGCGUAGGCGGUUUUUUAAGUCUGAUGUGAAAGCCCACGGCUCAACCGUGGAGGGUCAUUGGAAACUGGAAAACUUGAGUGCAGAAGAGGAAAGUGGAAUUCCAUGUGUAGCGGUGAAAUGCGCAGAGAUAUGGAGGAACACCAGUGGCGAAGGCGACUUUCUGGUCUGUAACUGACGCUGAUGUGCGAAAGCGUGGGGAUCAAACAGGAUUAGAUACCCUGGUAGUCCACGCCGUAAACGAUGAGUGCUAAGUGUUAGGGGGUUUCCGCCCCUUAGUGCUGCAGCUAACGCAUUAAGCACUCCGCCUGGGGAGUACGACCGCAAGGUUGAAACUCAAAGGAAUUGACGGGGACCCGCACAAGCGGUGGAGCAUGUGGUUUAAUUCGAAGCAACGCGAAGAACCUUACCAAAUCUUGACAUCCUUUGACAACUCUAGAGAUAGAGCUUUCCCCUUCGGGGGACAAAGUGACAGGUGGUGCAUGGUUGUCGUCAGCUCGUGUCGUGAGAUGUUGGGUUAAGUCCCGCAACGAGCGCAACCCUUAAGCUUAGUUGCCAUCAUUAAGUUGGGCACUCUAAGUUGACUGCCGGUGACAAACCGGAGGAAGGAGGGGAUGACGUCAAAUCAUCAUGCCCCUUAUGAUUUGGGCUACACACGUGCUACAAUGGACAAUACAAAGGGCAGCGAAACCGCGAGGUCAAGCAAAUCCCAUAAAGUUGUUCUCAGUUCGGAUUGUAGUCUGCAACUCGACUACAUGAAGCUGGAAUCGCUAGUAAUCGUAGAUCAGCAUGCUACGGUGAAUACGUUCCCGGGUCU
rnacentral:rRNA from 1 species